UACGUAGGGCGCAAGCGUUGUCCGGAAUUAUUGGGCGUAAAGAGCUUGUAGGUGGUUUGUCGCGUCUGCUGUGAAAAUCCGAGGCUCAACCUCGGACUUGCAGUGGGUACGGGCAGACUAGAGUGUGGUAGGGGAGACUGGAAUUCCUGGUGUAGCGGUGGAAUGCGCAGAUAUCAGGAGGAACACCGAUGGCGAAGGCAGGUCUCUGGGCCAUUACUGACACUGAGAAGCGAAAGCAUGGGGGAGCGAACAGG
rnacentral:rRNA from 1 species